UCCCCAAAUUAAUUCGGGGAUGCGCUUUGGUUUGGUGCAAUUCGCUUUAAUCUUGUGUUUAGUGCCAUAUUGAACUAUACUACAGAUUUUAAAGUUUCAGAACCUCGAAUCUGCAGCUCAUCAAAAUUCGUCUUCUUUCUUUAUUUGUAAUAUUUUUUGUACAAUUUUCUUUAUUUUUUCUUCAAUGGAAGGAUGAGUUUAACAUGGACGAGAGUUUUAUUACCUCUUCAGUUAGUUCUGGGUACCUGGAACCUCAUGGGAAGGUCAAUCUAAACCAUUAGGUGAUGACAGAGUAUUCCAUAAUCAAUACUGGGUACUUUAUGAUUUUAGUAUGUUCCAAAAUUAUUACAAAUCUAAAUAAAUAACUAAAUAACUUUUAUUAUUUUAACUAUUGAGUAAAUUCUUAAAACUAUUUUAUAUUUUACUUGGAUAAGCUUGGAAGAUUAGGAAGGUAAAUUAAUGAACACUUUAAGAGCUUUAAUUAUAUAUAAUAAUAAAAAUUUAAAUAAACGUACUAUAUUUCAAAUAUGUAUAUAAAAUAUCAUUUCUUGUAAUUCUUUCAUGUUUCAACUUAAUAUUAAAUACACCUCAAACUAAAAAAA